GCAAAUUUGGUGUGUAUGUCCUCUUUCAACUAUAGAGUGUCAGCCCCUUAAGCAGAAAGAGUUUAACCUUUCUCAUUCCCCACUGAGUUACUUCCUCGUGGAUGAUCAUUAUUUCAGUUUCCUCCCCAAUUGAUCGUCUAGAUGGGAUCACUCUCCCUGAGUUAUAUCCUCAUUGGGUUGAGUCUUUGAUUGACUGUUUCUUUCUAGAUCUUACCUAGAUAGAUGUUUUUGGUCCCCUGAGAGUCUAUUACCCAGUAACUGGUAAUAUUCUUCUCAAUUUGCAAG
rnacentral:lncRNA from 1 species